AAAAAUGAUAGAGGUUGAAGGUCAAUAGCAGAAUAAUUAAAAAUGAGGGAUUGGUAUAUAGAUGACUUUUGAAAAUUUCUCCAACAGUGAUCGAAUCUUAAUAAUUGCACAGUUAAUUACGAAUAAUUCAAACAUUUUAUUCUGUAGAUCUUUUAAUACAUUUAUGCGGAUGAAUUUUGGAAAUUUUCAAAUGAAGAGAUUGAAGAUUUAUAAUAGUACGAUCAAAGUUGAGAAAUUGAAUAUUCCAUUCUACAUAUUUUCCAUACAAACUUUCUCUUUUACAAAUGAAUUUCGGCAUUUCCUCACUAAUGAUUCCCAAUGGUAACGACGUAAUUAAUGAUGCAUAGAUGGUAUCUUUAAUCCGAGUAUAUUUUAUACGAAAUAAAAAAUCUGGAAAACGAAUGGAUACGAAUUUCCGGAUAUUAAACAAAAUUACGAAAAAUGACGAAUAAAAAUGUCUAUUCUAUGUAUUUUGUGUAUUACGCGCCAAGAAAUUAAUUAUCUCGAAAAUAUAACAAAUUUCAUGUCUGAAAGACGAUAGCGCUUUAAUAUUGCGAAUAAAAUUGAAGGGUUCGCAGCAAUAAGAAAACAGCUUCAAUAUUUAAAUUGCAUCUAUUGAAAGAGGAAAAGAAGUGUAGAAUUUUAUAUUCAAAGGUUUUAUAUUCGAAAAUGUCAAAGUUUAUUACUACGAAUAUCGAUUGAUUAUGAAUUUAUACGACUUUCAGAUGCUGUGAUGCGACUUUUCGGGAUUUUAAAUUGCAAUUUCUUAGAUCCUUCGAAUUACUUUUUUUUACAUUAUUAAUUAAGUAAACAAUAUUAAUUAUUAAAUGAUAUUAUUCAAAUAAAAUGGAACUAUCUUCUUACUGCAACAUCCCCUUUAAAUUACGACAGAGGGUGAAAAUAGAAAACAGAGGAUUUACACAAAUUCAUAGUCACUUUAAUUAAAUAUAUCUAUGUACAUUAUAGGUACAUCAUAAUACAUUCACCAUAUGACGACUGUACAUCUUAGCAGCACUUUCAAUACUGUUCACAAAAAUACAUCGCAUAUAAACGAGCAAUCGGUUUAUACGCAAGGUCGGCCCAGGACUUGCGACCACAUGGAGCGCUUUCAUGGCAGGCUCCCACAUGGAACCUCUAUUUCUCUCUCUCUUUCUCUCUCUCUCUCUCUCUCGCUUUUUCUCUCUCUUUCUCUCUCUCCCUCUCAAACACGGACUUUAUGUACAAAAAAGAUUUUCAGCUCGAGUCGCAGGUCGGGCCAAAAAAGGAAGGAACGUGCCACGAGAAAGUACGGUCUUUCACCAGGAGCCGAAACUGUUCACGACGAUGCUGCUCUGAAAUGACUUUAUCAAAGUUUUCUUUGGAAUUGUUGCCACGAACCGAACAAUGUUAUAUAGAUAUGGAAGUUCCGGAAAGAAUUCAUCAGAAAUGGAGUAAAGUUCUCUCGUAGGAAACUUUGCUUUCGAGAUAUCCAAUUUUCGAAAUUUAUAGAUUGUUCGUAACUUUAGUCGAUGCAUGUAUAAUGAUCGAGAAGCAUGGUUUUACAAGGAACAUCAAUAUAAAAGAUUAUAACACGAUUCUUGAAGAGACAAAUCUGACAUUAACGUUAUUAAUCAUUUAAAAAUUAAUACUAUAACCUACCAUUAAAAAUACUGCCAUUUGUUGGUAAAGAUACUAAACGCCUAUGUUUUUCAUUGAAGCAGAAGAAUCUUUAAGUGGAUGGCAACAAAGGUUUAAAUUAAAUUAAAAUUGAAAAAUAUAUAUCAAUAACGUGAACAACGCUUGCAGCGUGUUUUAAAUAAUUUUCAUAGUCAAUUUACCAAAAAUCUGAAUCUUCUAUGAGAAACUUUUGCACUACAUUUCCGAUUCACUUUCUCAUGAAAAAUCGCUGCACACAGUCGCAGAUCCGAAAACUGUUAAAAACACAUCGACAUUUUUAAUAUCAUUUUUAACAGAUCGAAUCUCCAUGGCAAAUCGACUGUGUGAAAACCACUAAGUAGCAUCGAUCUAUGCGAUUGAAACAUACUCGGUCGACACGGAAAUCAUUUUUAAAAAUCGUCUCGAGGAGCGGAAUCGCAGCUUUCAACCCCCGGAUCCGGAAGUAAUAUCAACAAACAGCCGCGGCUGCCCGAGUGGGCUGCGGAUUUAUCUUAAGUACCAUCAAGAAACACGAGAUAUUGACACUUUUGAUAUCGAUGAUAUUUAUACAAUUACAUAGAGUUGUGGUGCAAUGAAUCCGGCCUUUAGCUGUCGCGACGAGAACGUGUCGGUUCUGUGACUUCAAAAUCUUACUCGCGAUAUAUUCUCAUCAUAUUCGUUAGACUAUGAUUACAGAGGAUACAUGGUCCGAUGAACUGUCGUUCUGACGAAACGUUCGACAACCGAAAUGCAUACGCUCAGAAAUAGAUUGCGGACGUUCGUGCAAAUUUAUAUUUUUGUAGGUACAUAAUUAAAAACAAGUAGAACUUGAACGGAGAUUUAUUUUCCCUACCACUUGUUAUAACGAAUAUUUUGUUUUAAACGUUUUAUAUAUUUCUGCUAAUUAUUUGUAUUUCAGUAUUCUGGAAGUUCCUAUAUUUUCAAGCUGCCGUAAGAAUCUCUACAGAGCACGCAUCUGUCGCAAUAAUAGUGCUAUUUCCAAACGCAAGCAUGGAGCCGCGAAAUUUUGCCUACGAAAGGUGCUGAACCGACUUCCGUUCUUCACUCGCGUUAUCACAAUUUGUUAUAAUCCAAUCUCUCUUCUGUCUCUUUCGCUCUCGCAUUCUCUCGUUCUCGCGCUGUGUCACAAUGUGCUUCAGGAGAGUUGUAUGCGUUUCACAAUUCACGGUUACUAUGUACAGAAACGAUUUUUUCAUCCUUCUUAUAUUUUUUGUUUUUUGUCUUUUUUUUUUCUUUUUGUUUUUCGCGAAACAACUUAAGGAACAUUUGGUAUCGAGAGCAAUAAUUCGGUCGGAUGGCGACGGCCUGUCGCGAGAAAUCGAACCUCCUCUUCUUUUAAACGACCGCGUUUAAUCGCGUAGGAACGUGUCUCUCUCUUUCAUGUGCGCCGAAAACCGCGUUUCGUAUCUCGUUGGCGUGUACAACGAGUGUACGAAGCACUCGUAGCUGAUCGAGACACCGGUGAAAUGGAAUUCCAAGUCUUUAAAACGUUGCCACCGUGUGGAAGAGAAUGAAUUUUCUGGUAUUGGAGGAUCUGAAUUGUGCCACGGUGGCCGGCUGAAAGCUUCAGGGUGGGUUGCUUGUCUGAAGAAAACCGAGCUUUUUGUUUUAGAAGAAUGUUCGUAACACUGUAUUCAACAUUAUUUGAAUAAAAUUUUGUUCCAGUUUUACUUAAUCGACUGUGAAUGUUUAUGCAAAGUCGUGUUCUUACUCCAAGAGCAAAUGGAAUCUAAAUACUAUAGCGAGUAUUUUAUUUUUAUAUAUGUGCUAUAUUUUUUAUUAGUUCUGUGUAUAUAUAUACAGGGUGGUUGGUAACUGGUGGUGCAAGCGGAAAGGGGGUGAUUCUACGCAAAAAAAGAAAUCGAAAAUAUGGAAUAAAAAUUUUUUUUUUAAUUUUUCCAUCGAGACAACGAUCUACGGUGAGAUCCGUUAUAACGUACCGCACGCGUACCGAGCGAAAAUUCAAAAUCGAUUUUCUCGAAAACAAAGCCUCGAACGAAAAAUUUGUAUUCUAUAUUUUCGACUUGUUUUUUCGCGUAGAAUCACCCCCUUUCCGCUUGUACCACCAGUUACCAAUCACCCUGUAUAUAUACACUUAAUAUUUUGUAUUAGUGAUUGCAAAAAGUAUUUGCACACCAGUGUAUUUAUUAUAUCAUACAUUAAUUUAUUAGGUCCAAGUAUAUUACAUUUUGUAUCGCUUAGUAGUACUUUCAUACGAACAAAAAUUAGAUAUCAGUUUGGAAAUGAACUGUAGGGUCUAAGAGACAGGUGCUUUAUUGGAAAAUAGAAAUAUUUUUAGUUGUGCAGAUUCGUGUACAUUUAAAAUUCACGCAAAUGCAUAAACCUUCGUAGAUUACGAAGAUUAAUUAAUUAUUUAAAUAUUCGGAAUAUUUUCGUCUUUGUUGUGUUUUAUGGUGUUAUUAAACUGAAUAAAGUUUGUUUAAUGUUCUUUCGAACUGUCUGUUAAUGAUCGAAAGUUAUAGAUAUUUUAACGAUUACUUGUCACUAGUUAAAAAGAAAUUCUAUAUCGAGCAUUUUACCGCAUAAACAAAGUAUAUUUUAAAGGAAAGAAGGUGCAUCGAAAACAAUUGAAAAGUAUUCGCAGGAAAUUGGAAAUGUUUUAUGUUUAACGGAGCAACAACGUUAUUCAAGCGAACGACUCUUUGACCAUUUGAAACGGUGAAUAAAACUCAUUCUAAUAUUUAUUAUUGUUUGCUUAAUGUCGAUCGUUAUUUAAUUCAGACUUUCCAUAAGAAAUGGUCGGAACGUGAAGCUGCAAUUUUAAUAAUUUAAAAUCCCGGUACCCCGUUUCCCGUGAAAACAUUUAAAAACUUUGUACACUUGUCUCCGAAUGAACGAUUUAAUAGAUUUAUGAAUAUCUAUAUGAAAAGUGGAGAAGCCACGGACUCGUCAGAAAAUAUGUAACGUGCAAAAAUGAAAGACUGGUACGUAGAAUCAUUUUUACAAUAAUAAAAAUCAACAUAACCAUUGCAUUGAAAAAAGUUUGACGAAUAAAUACAAAUUUAUGCAACAUUUCUUAUCCAAGGCGUGGCAGGACAUUUCGGAUGCGGAAGUAAGUAAAAAAUGUGGAAUACGUCCUUUUCGUUCGAAGAGGUCUGUUUGAGAAUUAUUCAUCUUUAUAUAUAUAUAUAUAUAUAUAAAUCUCAGAUCUUUUCUUCGUUUCACGUUGAGAAUUCAUUCAGUAAAUUGAAACUUUUCGUAAAUGCAUAAACAUGUGUAAAUAAAAGUGAAUUCUUAAUCUAUAGCAACACGAUUAUAUGUUAUAUAUGAUAACUAAAAAAUACAUUUAAUUUGAUGUAAAUAGAAAACUUGAUUUUGCCUCUGCAGCUUCUUACCAGUCUCACUAGAGUUAUUUUUAAUUUUGUAAAAAAAAAAAAAGAAAAAAAAAAGAAAGAAAGAAAGAAAGAAAACGCAUACGAGAUUUAUUUGAUAUUCGCUUCUACUAGGAUAAGUGUGUGCGUAGAAAUACAUGGUGAAUAGAUAGAUGCCGCAGGCAUCGGCAUCGAUGGAAAACGUUUAUAAUGCGUUACAAAUACUGGAUUGGUGAAUUUCUGAAAGUAUCCCGUCAUGUGCAUGGCGUGUAUGCGUUGAUGGAAAUCUGACGUGAGUCAAAAAUCAAAAUACGUCUGGUGUCAAUACUAUUAAAUCUCUCUGCUAGAAAAACUGAAAUUUAAAAUUGAAGCAACACAAAGGAUACUCUGUUGAAUAUUGAAACGCGGCUACCAAUUUGUCAAUGUUCUUCCUACAAAAAGGAAAAUGAAAAAUAAAUAUUAAUUUUAGAGUGCAAACGCUUUAACGUACAAGAGAAUUCGUAUCAACAUUUUUUUUUAUUUAAUUACAGUCUAAUCUAUCUUGUUACAUUCAUCCGAAAACCGAUGAAUGUUCAAUGUUCUUCUCAAGGACAGCUUUUUUUUUCUAAAAAUGUUAUACAACCUUUCAACAGUACUUUUGAUCCUUUAAUUUCUUUAAAGGCAUGUGCGUCUCUUAAGUUUUUGCAAUUUGUAAAUUUGCAAAAAUGUGUUUUUCAUAAUUCGAAGAUACUAUAAAUGAACUAAUUCUAUUUCGAGUAUACACUUGAUAAAUAUUUAUCGUGAUUUUCGAUAAUCAGAUGAUUAUCGCAGGUAAAACUGAACGUGUUAAUGGAAGUCAUGCAAAUAAUAAAGCAAAUGAUAAUGAAAAUAAAUAAUACAAAUAAUAUCACAAAAUUAGUAACUUCUUUAUAAUAACAAUAAUUCAUUAAUGUUGUAAAAAUACAAACAGUCAAGAAAUUCUAAUAUCUACAGAUUUAUGUCUUCUCUAUCAACGUAUUCUUGCAAUAAAAUCACUAAAAACUUUCACAAAAUUUAAUUUAUUUCUGGAAGACGGUUUAUUUGAAAUCGGCGAUGCGAUCAAAUGCUAUUGAUAAGUAGGGAUGAACGUCAAACUCUAAUUACAAUUCUAGAGUUGCCAAAAAUUUUCCUAUGUUUGAGACAAGAGAAUCGUUUCAGAAAUGUCAUCAAGCAGAAAUCGCUUGGAAAUCUAUUCGCGUAGGCAAAACUUUGCUUCGAAAGUUCCGAAUAU